rnacentral:rRNA from 1 species
UACGUAGGGUGCAAGCGUUAAUCGGAAUUACUGGGCGUAAAGCGUGCGCAGGCGGUUUUGUAAGUCUGUCGUGAAAUCCCCGGGCUCAACCUGGGAAUUGCGAUGGAGACUGCAAGGCUAGAAUCUGGCAGAGGGGGGUAGAAUUCCACGUGUAGCAGUGAAAUGCGUAGAUAUCUGGAGGAACACCGGUGGCGAAGGCGGCAUCCUGGACCGACACUGACGCUGAGGCGCGAAAGCUAGGGUAGCAAACGGG